CUACCUGAUGCAAAGAGCUGACUCACUAGAAAAAACACUGAUGCUGGCUGGCAAAGAUUGACGGCAGGAGAAGGGGACGACAGAGGAUAAGUUGGUAGCAUCACUGACAAUGGACAUGAGUUUUGACAUCGGGAACUGGUGGACAUCCACAAGAUGGUGAAGGACAGGGAAGCCUGGUGUGCUGCAGUACACAGGGUCGCAGAGUCGGACACAACUGAGCGACUGAACACCACCACCUUUGUAUCAAGUACUGCAAAGAAAAUAAUAUGGAAAGAAUGCAAGUAUUGAUACUAAUUAGGUAAAGUAUUUGCAAAUGGUUAAAGCAGAUCUAACUGAAGAUGCAACUGAGAAUGAAAAGGUGUGUAUGUGGGAAUAUGGUUAUAUAAGGAAUGUCUACUUUUCCACUUAGUUUUGCUAUGAACCUAAAACUGCUCUUUAAAAGAAAGUUAAAAAAAAAACCUAAAAUGUGGACAGUGGUUUGACUUAAUAGAUUGACAAGGUAUGUCCCUUAACCAUGAAUCUAAUAAUACUAAGUUUGAUAUAAAACCCCCUAAAUAUAUUUGCUGUGAGAGAAUAUUAAUCUGUGUAUGAACAGUUAUAUGCAUUACCAUACCAAUAAAUUUCCCAAAACAUCAUUUAAAUAUAGUUACAUUCUCAAAGGGUUACUCUGAGAAGAUAAUGUCACUUUCCCAGUUGAUUUUAAACAGGUUUCUUUUCAUUCUAUCUUAUUUGAAUGCUACAGUAGGCAUCGACUAUGAGAUGCUCCAAGGAAGACAACUGGGAAUCUUAAGUAUAAAUUUUACUACAGGCCUUGCUUUCUCCAAUAGGAGGAACUGAAGAAGCAGGCAUGGGACUUCCCUGGUGGUUCAGUGGUUAAGAUUCUGCACUUACAAUGCAGGAUGUGUGAGUUUGAUCCCUCUUGGGGGAACUUAAGAUACCACGUGCCACACUGCCAAAAACACAAAAAGAGCUGCCGUUCUGUGCCAUCUCUUAAGGGGUGCUGGUAGUGCCAUCAUGCUGAAAUGGAGAAAGAUCCUGACAACAGCCAUCUCUUGUCACAUUACACACUUUCAUUACUAACUUAUGACUUCCCUGCUGUGGACUUAGAGCCAUUAGAAAACUAGGAAGGUUCAAGAUUAAGAGCAAUUUCAGAUAUUAAUCUGAAGUAAUGUGUGUAAGAAAAAAACAGGGCAAGCAUGAAAACUGGAAAGCCAAGAUAUUGGUAAUAUACUGCAUUUGUGAGUUUAUUAAGUCUUAAAAGAGUACUAUGUUAACAGGGUUUCCCAGGUGGUGAAGUGGUAAAGAAUCCACUUGCCAAUGCAGGCGAUCAAAGAGAUGUGGGUUUGAUCCCUGGGUCAGGAAGAUCCCCUGGAGUAGAAAAUGGCAACCCACUCCAGUAUUCUUGCUUGAGAGACCCCAUGGAGAGAGUAGCCUGCUGAGCUAAUAGUCCUUGAGGUUGCAGAGUCAGACAUGACUGAGCAUACAUCCACACAUAAAAUAUGUUAUCAGUAAUUAGUAGUGAUGUAAUAGAAGUAACAGAUCAGAGACAUUGCUAAGGAAUUCAUUGGCUGAAUCACUGAUGGAAGCAUCCCAGAUGACUAGGGGGUCUGGAUCUAGGUACCUGGAGAAUAGUAGAUGCUAAAGAGAAAAAAAACUGGCACGCACGCACGCGCACACACACACACACACACACACACACACACACACACACAUAUAUAUAUACAGGAUAACUUUUAAAGUUUAAGAAAAACCUUCAGUCAAGAUUUAGGAAAAUCCACAGAGGGUUUUCAAGGGGAAAUGGGGUCAACAUAAGGCACAAUUGUAUAACAGUAAUUACCACUGGUGUGGGAGUUAAUGAACUAUUAUGCCUCUUAAGUGUUUUCACAUCUGUUGUAAAGUGUUGAUAUGUAUCUGAACUUACACUGCCUACAGCUCAUGAAAUGGAUGCCCGUGGAGUAGAAGACACUGUGCCAAGAACUUACAGCAAGGAAUGAAAAACUCAAGUGGUAGAUUUAUAUGCAAAUAUACGUUGACCCUGGUGCCUCAUUCGAUGCGGAACUGGAAGAGGACGAAGUAGGUGCAUCUUUCCUGGUAUGUCGAAUAAGGUGGGCUCGCAAGGAGGCACUGUACUGAAACUGUUUCUUACACAACUAAAAGAAAAAGUAAGUUCUGCCUCAAUGUAUUUUCAUUACAAAUGUUAAGUGAAAUGCAACUCAUAUUUCAACUUGC